CUGGUAGGUAUGGUCUGGUCUGGUCUGGUAGGUCUGGCCAGGUAGGUAUGGUCUGGUAGGUAGGGUCUGGUA